rnacentral:rRNA from 1 species
AGCAGCCGCCGCGGGAAUACGAAGGGUGCAAGCGUUACUCGGAAUUACUGGGCGUAAAGCGUGCGUAGGUGGUGGUUUAAGUCCGUUGUGAAAGCCCUGGGCUCAACCUGGGAAUUGCAGUGGAUACUGGGUCACUAGAGUGUGGUAGAGGAUAGUGGAAUUUCCGGUGUAGCAGUGAAAUGCGUAGAGAUCGGGAGGAACAUCAGUGGCGAAGGCGGCCAUCUGGGACAACACUGACGCUGAGGCACGAAAGCGUGGGGAGCAAACAGGAUUAGAUACCCCUGUAGUCCCUGUCUCUUAUAC